CUGGCUGCGGGCGGGCCAGGCCCUGCAGCGCGUCUUGCUGUACGCGGCGGGCCACAACGUCGCGGCAGGGUUCCAUACCCAGCCACUGGA
rnacentral:tRNA from 1 species